CCCUUUUCCACAACUAUAAAUAGGAGUCUCAUAAUUCAAAAAAAAAAAAAACAAGAACUCUAACAAGAAGCAAGAGAAAGCUCGUGGAUCAAAUGCUACAAUUUCUCUACAAAGCUCAAGCAUUAAAAUCCAAUUCAUCAAGAUUUAAGAUCAAGACCACAAAAUUCAAGAACAAGCUCAAAAGCCCUUGAAUUCAAGCGCAAGUUAAGAUCAAGUCCAUCAAUCAACAAAUCAAGUUCA
rnacentral:lncRNA from 1 species